UUUCCGUAGGUCGCUAGAGUUCAGCCUACCAAAGCAAACCUUUCAAAACUGCUAGUCUCUCCCCGAGGCGACACGCUCAAUGUUGCGGAGAGGCCCUCUUUUCAGAGGGUAAUCCGCAGCCGGCCCCCUAAAGGCUGGUUCAGAGACUCAAUGAGUGUGGGUUUGGCCUUUUGGCCAGGCUUAAGAUAGAGCCCGUCCCCGUAGGCAACUGCGGGGGAUGAACGGAACCUGCGGAAGGAUCAUUAAAGAAUCGGUGACCCUCGCGGUCCCAUUCUCACCCUUUGUAUACCAAACUUCAGUUGCUUUGGCUGGCCUUCGCGGGCCGGCCAGAGGACUCAAACCCUUGAAUCUUUGCUGUCUGAGUACUAUAUAAUAGUUAAAACUUUCAACAACGGAUCUCUUGGUUCUG
rnacentral:misc_RNA from 1 species